rnacentral:lncRNA from 1 species
CCGAAGUUUUGUUCACUCAGUUUUGAGUUUUUGUAAUUUUGAUAGACUUCUUUUGUGCUUUCAUUUUCUCAAUGAUUUGUACGUCAUUUUUAAAACACUUCCGUAGUACGGACGAUAUUGAUGAUGAAAUAUCUUAUGAAGAUCAUUUAGAGGUUUAUUUUGAAUAACUGACAAUUCCAGGAAUGAUGGAAUAAAACAUAUGAAGUAGAAGGACUGGAACCUCCAGAAAAAAUACUUCAAGUUACCGACAAGUGAUCUUAGUCAGGCAAAUGAAAACAGUAGCCUAAAGUGUCGGUUUCAACCAGAAAAUAACAGCUAUGAUUUCUCAUGGCUCACACUCUUCUGAAACGACUCAGGAAGAGGCUGAGGAAGGCCAUGUUGUUUGUCUACCUGGGACUACACCUACUGAAAGAAGUUCUGAAGUUCUGAUUGAGUUCUAAAAGUUUUUUGAAGAUUGGAAUUCUUCAUAUGUAAGUAAAACCAAUUUCUGAUGACCCAUUUCUAGUCCAUCUUCUAAAGAAGUAUUUAAUCUGGGCCAUGCGUGGUGGCUCAUGCCUGUAAUCCCAGCACUUUGGGAGGCCAAGGCGGGUGGAUCACAAGGUCAAGAGAUCAAGACCAUCCUGGCCAACAUGGUGAAACCCCAUCUCUACUAAAAUACAAAAAUUAGCUGGGCAUGGUGGUGCGUGCCUGUAGUCCCAGCUACUCGGGAGGCUGAGGCAGGAGAAUCACUUGAACCUGGGAGACAGAGGUUACAGUGAGCCGAGAUUGCGCCACUGCACUCCAGCCUGGCAACAGAGCAAGACACUGUCUCAAAAAAAAAAAAAAAAAAGAAAAAAAAAGAAGUAUUUAAUCUGAGCUGGGCAUGAUGGCUCACUCCUGUAAUCUCAGCAAUUUUAGAGGCCAAGGCAUGAGGGUUACUUGAAACCAGGAGUUUGACACCAGCCUAGACAACAAUAGCAAGACCCCAUCUCUACAAAAAAAAAUUUAAAAAUUAGCUGCGCAGGAGGCUGAGUUGGGAGGAUCGCUUGAGCUUAGGAGUUGGAGGUUGCAGAAAGCUAUGAUCAUGCCACUGCACUCCAGGCUGGAUGACAGUGAGACCCUGUCUCUGAAACACAAAUAAAACUAACAAAAAAAGUGUUUGUAGGAGGCUCCCGGCAAUCUUAGCCUGAAGCCAUGAAGGAAGUCGUAGUGUGAAGGCAAGUGCAGGGUGGCCUCUGGCAGCUGAGGAUCAG